rnacentral:rRNA from 1 species
UNUGACUUGAGUGCAGAAGGGGAGGGUGGAAUUCCAUGUGUAGCGGUGAAAUGCGUAGAUAUAUGGAGGAACACCAGUGGCGAAAGCGGCUCUCUGNUCUGUCGCUGACGCUGAGGCUCGAAAGCGUGGGUAGCGAACAGGAUUAGAUACCCUGGUAGUCCACGCCGUAAACGAUGAGUGCUAGGUGUUAGGCCCUUUCCGGGGCUUAGUGCCGGAGCUAACGCAAUAAGCACUCCGCCUGGGGAGUACGACCGCAAGGUUGAAACUCAAAGGAAUUGACGGGGGCCCGCACAAGCGGUGGAGCAUGUGGUUUAAUUCGAAGCAACGCGAAGAACCUUACCAGGUCUUGACAUCCCGAUGCUAUUCUUAGAGAUAGGAAGUUACUUCGGUACAUCGGAGACAGGUGGUGCAUGGUUGUCGUCAGCUCGUGUCGUGAGAUGUUGGGUUAAGUCCCGCAACGAGCGCAACCCUUAUUGUUAGUUGCCAUCAUUAAGUUGGGCACUCUAGCGAGACUGCCGGUAAUAAACCGGAGGAAGGUGGGGAUGACGUCAAAUCAUCAUGCCCCUUAUGACCUGGGCUACACACGUGCUACAAUGGUCGGUACAACGAGUUGCGAGCCGGUGACGGCAAGCUAAUCUCUGAAAGCCGAUCUCAGUUCGGAUUGGAGGCUGCAACUCGCCUCCAUGAAGUCGGAAUCGCUAGUAAUCGCGGAUCAGCACGCCGCGGUGAAUACGUUCCCGGGCCUUGUACACACCGCCCGUCACACCACGAGAGUUUGUAACACCCGAAGUCGGUGAGGUAACCUUUUAGGGGCCAGCCGC